rnacentral:piRNA from 1 species
UGACAACAAAUGGGUUGCCUGAGAGC